AGAGUUUGAUCAUGGCUCAGGAUGAACGCCGGCGGUGUGCCUAAUACAUGCAAGUCGAACGCGUUGGCCCAACUGAUUGGACGUGCUUGCACGAACUUGACGUUGGUUUACCAGCGAGUGGCGGACGGGUGAGUAACACGUAGGUAACCUGCCCCAAAGUGGGGGAUAACAUUUGGAAACAGAUGCUAAUACCGCAUAACAAUUUGAAUCGCAUGAUUCAAAUUUAAAAGAUGGCUUCGGCUAUCACUUUGGGAUGGACCUGCGGCGCAUUAGCUUGUUGGUAGGGUAACGGCCUACCAAGGCUGUGAUGCGUAGCCGAGUUGAGAGACUGAUCGGCCACAAUGGAACUGAGACACGGUCCAUACUCCUACGGGAGGCAGCAGUAGGGAAUCUUCCACAAUGGGCGCAAGCCUGAUGGAGCAACACCGCGUGAGUGAAGAAGGGUUUCGGCUCGUAAAGCUCUGUUGUUAGAGAAGAACGUGCGUGAGAGUAACUGUUCACGCAGUGACGGUAUCUAACCAGAAAGUCACGGCUAACUACGUGCCAGCAGCCGCGGUAAUACGUAGGUGGCAAGCGUUAUCCGGAUUUAUUGGGCGUAAAGCGAGCGCAGGCGGUUUGAUAAGUCUGAUGUGAAAGCCUUUGGCUUAACCAAAGAAGUGCAUCGGAAACUGUCAGACUUGAGUGCAGAAGAGGACAGUGGAACUCCAU
rnacentral:rRNA from 1 species